GUGCACGCUGGCGGUCGGCCUCACACAUGCAAGUCGAACGGCAGCACCGUAAGAGCUUGCUCUUACGGGUGGCGAGUGGCGGACGGGUGAGGAAUACAUCGGAAUCUACUUUUUCGUGGGGGAUAACGUAGGGAAACUUACGCUAAUACCGCAUACGACCUACGGGUGAAAGCAGGGGAUCUUCGGACCUUGCGCGAUUGAAUGAGCCGAUGUCGGAUUAGCUAGUUGGCGGGGUAAAGGCCCACCAAGGCGACGAUCCGUAGCUGGUCUGAGAGGAUGAUCAGCCACACUGGAACUGAGACACGGUCCAGACUCCUACGGGAGGCAGCAGUGGGGAAUAUUGGACAAUGGGCGCAAGCCUGAUCCAGCCAUACCGCGUGGGUGAAGAAGGCCUUCGGGUUGUAAAGCCCUUUUGUUGGGAAAGAAAAGCAGCAGGUUAAUACCCCGCUGUUCUGACGGUACCCAAAGAAUAAGCACCGGCUAACUUCGUG
rnacentral:rRNA from 1 species